CUUCUAUGUGCAGCGCAGCUGUGGCUGGCAGCACCAAAGCUUGGCAGAUUGAUGAAGAAACCAUGGCUGGAAAAAGGAACCUUUGCCUCAGAGAAGUGAAACCGCAUUAAGAAGUGUUGACCAUGCGAAAACACGGGAGGGUCAGAUGGUCUGAACCUCAGCAACAGAUCAUUUGUCACCGACGGUGCUCGAGUUACCUUUGGCAACAGUUGCCCUGCCUACAGAGAGGAACACCUUCUUCACCAGACCUCAUAGGCUGCCCCGAUGACACAUGGGUGAAACACCUGAAGAGAACUACCACGUAGCUUGUCACUGACUCCCAAGAUCAGUCACAUCAGCCUCUGGAGACUGAUGCUCACCCUCAUC